ensembl:snoRNA
ACUGCCCCUAGAGCAUAGCAGGAGUGGUUGCUGUGUCACAUGUGCUUCAGUAGGUAGCAGAGAAGGAAGAGACUAUGUCUAUGCUCAGUGUUCUCAUGUAUGAACAUCAGAUUGGUUAGUAGCAGCCUAACACU